rnacentral:rRNA from 1 species
UACGUAGGGUCCGAGCGUUGUCCGGAAUUACUGGGCGUAAAGAGCUCGUAGGUGGUUUGUCGCGUUGUUCGUGAAAACUCACAGCUCAACUGUGGGCGUGCGGGCGAUACGGGCAGACUUGAGUACUGCAGGGGAGACUGGAAUUCCUGGUGUAGCGGUGGAAUGCGCAGAUAUCAGGAGGAACACCGAUGGCGAAGGCAGCCCCCUGGGAUGUGACUGACGCUCAUGUACGAAAGCGUGGGGAGCAAACAGG